CGUUCGUAGUUGAAUUUGUGCUUCAUACGGGUAGUACAACUACAAUUGUGGAUUGUACAUUACCUUAUGUAUGCAAGCGUAUUAUCGGUGGAGUUCUUAUAUAUAAUGAUACUUGUGUUGUUGUAUAUACCUCCUAUUUAAACCUGCUUCAGUGCUCUUCAUCGAGUGCUGUUGUGGGCCGAUACAAUUACUUUGAACAAAUUAGAGUGCUUAAAGCAGGCUCCAAAUGCCUGAAUAUUUUGUGCAUGGAAUAAUGAAAUAAGACUUCUGAUCUACUUUCAUUGGUUUUUAGAUCAAGAGGUAAUGAUUAAUAGAAGCAGUUUGGGGGCAUUAGUAUUACGACGCGAGAGGU
rnacentral:rRNA from 1 species